UGUACAUCUACUGUACCCUGAAAUUCCCUUGCCCUGCAGGAAAGAUUUCCUGCACCCUUGAACCUACAGUGCCUGGAUUAGAGUGAGCAGGGAGGGAGAAGAGGUGGCUCUUGGCAGAACAGAAAAGGAAGGAAAUGAAGGCUACUCCUCUUGGCUCUCCAUUGUAUUCCAGAUGUCUUGGCUGCCAUGGAGGAAUUGCAAUGCAUCCAUGCAAGGGGAGAGUUUGAAUGAAGUCCCCCACUGUCACAAAUUAUGCAGUCAAGUUUCUGGCAUUUGCAGAAAUCGCAGGAAUCAGCCCAUUGAGUAAAAUGGAUAAGAUAAGCAUCACUCUGAGGAAACCACCCUUAAUAACAGAAUCAACUCUGCCAGGUGAUUGCAGCUACUCCAAGGAGGAGACAGAGAAAUUUCUACUGACUGGAAUUCCUUUGCUGGCUUUGUGGGAGUAGAGAGUUCCACCAGUAAUUAUGAAUGUGGUCCUGGAGGUGAUGAACCAUCAGAGUCACCCUGACCACUCUUCUCUAAGGAAUGUGGAGACAAAACUGUUCUUUGGAAAAAUGAGAGACAGAGGAAAUCUUACACCUAAAUGGGUGCACAAGUGGGUAGAAUUUGUCUUUAGUGUUUUCAUUUGAUUCAAUUCAAUAAAUGUAUAGUAAUUGCUUCUGUAGAGAACUGUCAUGGCCAUUGAGAGUUAGAGAAGUCAUCUUCUCUGCCCUCAUAAAGAGUUUACAGUUUAGUAGAGAGAUGUGAGAUAAGAUACUAGCUGGGUGACCUUGGGCAAGUCACUUAGCCACUUGCCUCAGUUUUCUAAACUGUAAAAUGGGAGUAAUAAAAGCACCUCCUCUAAGAGUUGUUGUGAGAACCAAUGUGAUAGUAUUUGUAAAGCAUUUAGAAUCAUUCCUGGCACAUAGUAGGUAUAUAAAU